rnacentral:rRNA from 1 species
UACCAGCACCCCGAGUGGUCGGGACGUUUAUUGGGCCUAAAGCAUCCGUAGCCGGUUCUACAAGUCUUCCGUUAAAUCCAACUGCUUAACAGGUGGGCUGCGGAAGAUACUAUAGAGCUAGGAGGCGGGAGAGGCAAGCGGUACUCGAUGGGUAGGGGUAAAAUCCGUUGAUCCAUUGAAGACCACCAGUGGCGAAGGCGGCUACCUGGACAAUUGCUGACGCUCAGGCACGAAAGCGUGGGGAGCAAAAGGG